rnacentral:rRNA from 1 species
UACAGAGGUCCCAAGCGUUGUUCGGAUUCACUGGGCGUAAAGGGUGCGUAGGUGGUGAGGUAAGUCGGAUGUGAAAGCUCGGAGCUCAACUCCGAAAUGGCAUUGGAAACUACCUUGCUCGAGGGUUGGAGGGGGGACUGGAAUACUUGGUGUAGCAGUGAAAUGCGUAGAUAUCAAGUGGAACACCAGUGGCGAAGGCGAGUCCCUGGACAACUCCUGACACUGAGGUGCGAAAGCGUGGGGAGCAAACAGG